rnacentral:rRNA from 1 species
GAUGAACGCUGGCGGCGUGCCUAAUACAUGCAAGUCGAGCGAACGGACGAGAAUCUUGCUUCUCUGAUGUUAGCGGCGGACGGGUGAGUAACACGUGGAUAACCUACCUAUAAGACUGGGAUAACUUCGGGAAACCGGAGCUAAUACCGGAUAAUAUUUUGAACCGCAUGGUUCAAAAGUGAAAGACGGUCUUGCUGUCACUUAUAGAUGGAUCCGCGCUGCAUUAGCUAGUUGGUAAGGUAACGGCUUACCAAGGCAACGAUGCAUAGCCGACCUGAGAGGGUGAACGGCCACUCUGGAACUGAGCCACGGUCCAGACUCCUACGGGAGGCAGAAGUAGGGACUCUUCCGAAAUGGGCGAAAGACUGACGGAGCAGCGCCGCGUGAGUGGUGAAGGUCUUCGGAUCGUAAAACUCUGUUAUUAGGGAAGAACAUAUGUGUAAGUAACUGUGCACAUCUUGACGGUACCUAAUCAGAAAGCAACGGCUAACUACGUG